AACGAACGCUGGCGGCGUGGAUAAGACAUGCAAGUCGAACGCUUAUCCUUGUGUAGCAAUACAUGAGGGUAGGAGUGGCGCAAGGGUGCGUAACACGUGGGUAAUUUGCCGUGAAGUCCGGGAUAACUUGCUGAAAGGCGAGCUAAUACCGGAUGUGGAAAUUGGAAGGCAUCUUUUGAUUUCUGAAGUUGGGGACCGCAAGGCCUGACGCUUUACGAUAAGCCCGCGGCCAUCAGCUAGUUGGUGAGGUAACGGCUCACCAAGGCUAAGACGGGUAGCUGGUCUGAGAGGACGACCAGCCACACUGGAACUGAGACACGGUCCAGACACCUACGGGUGGCAGCAGUCGAGAAUUUUUCUCAAUGGGCGCAAGCCUGAAGGAGCGACGCCGCGUGUGGGAUGAAGGGUUUCGAUCCGUAAACCNCUGUCAUUUGCGAACAAACCCUGAGGUUUAAGNGAUAUCAGGCUGAUUG
rnacentral:rRNA from 1 species